UGAAGAUGCAGUGUACCCGCGGCUAGACGGAAAGACCCCGUGAACCUUUACUACAGCUUGGCACUGAACAUUGACCCUACAUGUGUAGGAUAGGUGGGAGGCUUUGAAGCAGGUACGCCAGUAUCUGUGGAGCCGUCCUUGAAAUACCACCCUUGUAGUGUUGAUGUUCUAACGUCGACCCCUAAUCGGGGUUGCGGACAGUGCCUGGUGGGUAGUUUGACUGGGGCGGUCUCCUCCCAAAGAGUAACGGAGGAGCACGAAGGUGGGCUAAUCACGGUUGGACAUCGUGAGGUUA
rnacentral:rRNA from 1 species